rnacentral:pre_miRNA from 1 species
AAAAAAUUCGUACCGUCGGUCUACCGAGCAAUAUAACCCGGUCGGUGGAAGAUCUUCAUUCCUUCGU